rnacentral:rRNA from 1 species
GACGAACGCUGGCGGCGUGCUUAACACAUGCAAGUCGAACGGAAAGACCCUGCUUUUGUGGGGUGCUCGAGUGGCGAACGGGUGAGUAACACGUGAGUAACCUGCCCUUGACUUUGGGAUAACUUUAGGAAACUGGGGCUAAUACCGGAUAGGAGCUCCUGCUGCAUGGGGGGGGUUGGAGAGUUUCGGCGGUGGGGGAUGGACUCGCGGCUUAUCAGCUUGUUGGUGGGGUAGUGGUUUACCAAGGCUUUGACGGGUAGCCGGCCUGAGAGGGUGACCGGCCACAUUGGGACUGAGAUACGGCCCAGACUCCUACGGGACGCAGCAGUGGGGAAUAUUGCACAAUGGGCGGACGCCUGAUGCAGCAACGCCGCGUGCGGAAUGACGGCCUUCGGGUUGUAAACCGCUUUCGCCUGUGACGAAGCGUGAGUGACGGUAAUGGGUAAAAAAGCACCGGCUAACUACGUG